ACAUGCAAGUCGAGCGGAAGUGAUGAGAAGCUUGCUCUUCUGAUUUAGUCGCGGACAGGUGAGUAACACGUGGGCAACCUACCUUGUAGAUUGGGAUAACUCCGGGAAACCGGGGCUAAUACCGAAUAAUCCAUUUUGCUUCAUGGCGAGAUGUUGAAAGACGGUUUCGGCUGUCACUAUAAGAUGGGCCCGCGGCGCAUUAGCUAGUUGGUAGGGUAAUGGCCUACCAAGGCGACGAUGCGUAGCCGACCUGAGAGGGUGAUCGGCCACGCUGGGACUGAGACACGGCCCAGACUCCUACGGGAGGCAGCAGUAGGGAAUCUUCCACAAUGGACGAAAGUCUGAUGGAGCAACGCCGCGUGAGUGAAGAAGGUUUUCGGAUCGUAAAACUCUGUUGUAAGGGAAGAACACGUACGAGAGUAACUGCUCGUACCUUGACGGUACCUUAUUAGAAAGCCACGGCUAACUACGUG
rnacentral:rRNA from 1 species